CGGUCACUCGGUCAGAUGUUACUCAGAUAACUUAGCCACUUGCCACAUUGUGAAUAAAGGCCGGUCUUCAUCUUUGGUCAUCAUGAGAUUGUUGAGAAAACUCACAUGGGUAGCAGCCACUUGCCAAUUUUUUAUCACAUAUAUUAACGUACCAGGGUGCACAAACAUCUCAGCUGAUCAUUUGUCUCGGUUUCAUUUUCAGGCUUUCUUCCU